AAACAAACUAAAGAAUACAAAGCUAUAGUUACAGGUUCAAUUUUAAGUUGAUAAGUAUAGGUGAUGAAUACGCAAUAUUGACUUGUGAAGGGGGUUCCUUCAUACGCUGCAAUACCUUUAGCAAAAUAAAAUUUGGGAUGAUUAGGUUAAUUAUAAGAAAUAUUGGUUAGAAUGUAAUAAAUUUAUUUUUAAAUAUCACAGUAUGAACAUUCCUAGGCAACCUCGUGAAACAACUUGAAAAAGACAUGUUCAAGUUAUUAACACCAAUGGUCCAUAAAACGAUUGAAGAAAAUACAUUAAUAGGAAAAGCAAGGUCCAAAUGAAUGU